AGCGAACGCUGGCGGCAGGCCUAACACAUGCAAGUCGAACGAACUCUUCGGAGUUAGUGGCGGACGGGUGAGUAACACGUGGGAACGUGCCUUUAGGUUCGGAAUAACUCAGGGAAACUUGUGCUAAUACCGAAUGUGCCCUUCGGGGGAAAGAUUUAUCGCCUUUAGAGCGGCCCGCGUCUGAUUAGCUAGUUGGUGAGGUAAAGGCUCACCAAGGCGACGAUCAGUAGCUGGUCUGAGAGGAUGAUCAGCCACAUUGGGACUGAGACACGGCCCAAACUCCUACGGGAGGCAGCAAUGGGGAAUCUUGCGCAAUGGGCGAAAGCCUGACGCAGCCAUGCCGCGUGAAUGAUGAAGGUCUUAGGAUUGUAAAAUUCUUUCACCGGGGACGAUAAUGACGGUACCCGGAGAAGAAGCCCCGGCUAACUUCGUGCCAGCCGCCGCCGUAAAAC
rnacentral:rRNA from 1 species